rnacentral:tRNA from 1 species
GCCCGGCUAGCUCAAUCGGUAGAGCGGUGAGUUCAAUUAUCUCAAGGUUGUGGGUUCGACCCCCACGUCGGGCU